rnacentral:rRNA from 1 species
GACGAACGCUGGCGGCGUGCCUAAUACAUGCAAGUAGAACGCUGAAGGAGGAGCUUGCUUCUCUGGAUGAGUUGCGAACGGGUGAGUAACGCGUAGGUAACCUGCCUGGUAGCGGGGGAUAACUAUUGGAAACGAUAGCUAAUACCGCAUAAUAGUAGAUGUUGCAUGACAUUUGCUUAAAAGGUGCAAUUGCAUCACUACCAGAUGGACCUGCGUUGUAUUAGCUAGUUGGUGGGGUAACGGCUCACCAAGGCGACGAUACAUAGCCGACCUGAGAGGGUGAUCGGCCUCACUGGGAUUGAGACACGGCCCAGACUCCUACGGGAGGCAGCAGUAGGGAAUCUUCGGCAAUGGACGGAAGUCUGACCGAGCAACGCCGCGUGAGUGAAGAAGGUUUUCGGAUCGUAAAGCUCUGUUGUAAGAGAAGAACGAGUGUGAGAGUGGAAAGUUCACACUGUGACGGUAUCUUACCAGAAAGGGACGGCUAACUACGUG